rnacentral:rRNA from 1 species
AGUGAACGCUGGCGGCAGGCCUAACACAUGCAAGUCGAACGACCGCAUAGUAAGAGCUUGCUCUUGCGGGUGGCGCCUGGCGGACGGGUGAGGAAUACAUCGGAAACCUCUUUGACGUGGGUGAUAACGUAGAAAAAGUUCUGCUAAUACAGCAUAUAUCGUACGGGUGAAAGCAGGGGUUCUUCUGGCUUUUCGCGUGAGAAAGAGCCGAAGUCGGACUAGCUAGUGUAGGUGGUAAGGGCUCACCAAGGCGACGAUGCGUAGCGGGUCUGAGCGGAAGAUCAGCCACACUGGAACUGAGACACGGUCCAGACUCCUACGGGAGGCAGCAGUGGGGAAUCUUGCGCAAUGGGCGAGAGCCUGAUCCAGCCAUACCGCGUAAGUGAUGAAGGCCUUCGGGUUGUAAAACCCUUUUGUUGGGAAAGAAAAAAAGUUGGUUAACCCGCGGCUGUACUGACGGUACCCAAAGAAUAAGCCCCGGCUAACUUCGUG